AGGUCCCAAAGUCAUGGUUAAGUGGGAAACGAUGUGGGAAGGCCCAGACAGCCAGGAUGUUGGCUUAGAAGCAGCCAUCAUUUAAAGAAAGCGUAAUAGCUCACUGGUCGAGUCGGCCUGCGCGGAAGAUGUAACGGGGCUAAACCAUGCACCGAAGCUGCGGCAGCGAACGUAUCACUUAAAGCGAUUCAGCGGGUUACGAUUGACGGAGCGAAGCGACGUCAAAGCGUAUACAAAGUCGAGUCGGUUUAAGGAUACGUUCGUUGGGUAGGGGAGCGUUCUGUAAGCCUGUGAAGGUGUGUCGUGAGGCAUGCUGGAGGUAUCAGAAGUGCGAAUGCUGACAUAAGUAACGAUAAAGCGGGUGAAAAGCCCGCUCGCCGGAAGACCAAGGGUUCCUGUCCAACGUUAAUCGGGGCAGGGUGAGUCGACCCCUAAGGCGAGGCCGAAAGGCGUAGUCGAUGGGAAACGGGUUAAUAUUCCCGUACUUGGUGUUACUGCGAAGGGGGGACGGAGAAGGCUAUGUUGGCCGGGCGACGGUUGUCCCGGUUUAAGCGUGUAGGCUGGUUUUCCAGGCAAAUCCGGAAAAUCAAGGCUGAGGCGUGAUGACGAGGCACUACGGUGCUGAAGCAACAAAUGCCCUGCUUCCAGGAAAAGCCUCUAAGCAUCAGGUAACAUCAAAUCGUACCCCAAACCGACACAGGUGGUCAGGUAGAGAAUACCAAGGCGCUUGAGAGAACUCGGGUGAAGGAACUAGGCAAAAUGGUGCCGUAACUUCGGGAGAAGGCACGCUGACACGUAGGUGAAGUGAUUUACUCAUGGAGCUGAAGUCAGUCGAAGAUACCAGCUGGCUGCAACUGUUUAUUAAAAACACAGCACUGUGCAAACACGAAAGUGGACGUAUACGGUGUGACGCCUGCCCGGUGCCGGAAGGUUAAUUGAUGGGGUCAGCGCAAGCGAAGCUCCUGAUCGAAGCCCCGGUAAACGGCGGCCGUAACUAUAACGGUCCUAAGGUAGCGAAAUUCCUUGUCGGGUAAGUUCCGACCUGCACGAAUGGCGUAAUGAUGGCCAGGCUGUCUCCACCCGAGACUCAGUGA
rnacentral:rRNA from 1 species